UGGAAUUUCCCAUGCUAGGGGUUGAAUCGGAGCUGCAGCUGCUGGCCUGCUCCACAGCCAUAGCAACUUGGGAUCCAAACCGUAUCUGUGACACACACCACAACUUGUGGCAAUGUCAGAUCCUUAACCCACUGAGUGAGGCCAGGGUCGAACCCGUAUCUUCAUGGAUACUAGUUGGGUUCAUUACUACUGAGCCUCAAUAGGAACGCCUAGGAAUAUGUGCUUUAAUUUUAAAAAAUGCUAUUCUUGGGAGUUCCCCAGGGGCAUAGCACUUAAUUACCCAGGAUUGUCAUUGCUGUGGCUCAGGUCACUGCUGUGGCAUAGAUAUGAUCCCUGGCCAGGGAUGCCAGGCUGCAUGCCAUGGGCACAGCCCCCAAAAUGCUCUUCUUUUGUGAAUGACUACUUAUCCCUCAAGAUGCACCUGGAGUUGCCACCUCCUGGCAGCCCUUCCUGAUCUACCUGUCUGGGUUGGAUGCCCCUUCUCAGUUCUCUGCAAGCUCCCUGUGCUUUUCUUUGCUUUAACACAUAUCCUACUGCAUUGAAGUGAAGGGUCCAGCUGCCUGUCUUCUCCACUUGACUGUGACCUAGAACCUAAAUUCUGUCUCUGAUUCAUCCCUACCUCUACAGCUUCUAGCACAGUGCCUGGCCUAAAACUGAUGUUCAGUAGAAGUUUUCCAGAAGGUUGAAUUCAACUUUCUCAACUUUCUAAGUGAGAGAGGCCAAAGGAAAGUGUGAAGUGCAGAAAUAGCUUGUGAGUUGAGGUGAUACUGACAAUUCAGACAUUUCAGGCCAGAAGACACCUGUUUUUACGCUCUCUCAACAAAGGGUUAGACCAGAUGAUUCCAUUUGACCUCUGACCUCUCCCCUGCCGACCUGGGAGAACUGAAGGCAGGCCACUGAGUGAAGCAGGUUGGGGUCCUGCUAGGGGCUGACUUGGUGUCAUCAGAGAGGGUGAAGGCAGGGCCUGUUACUGAAGCCUCCAGGGAAUCGGUCUCCUGGCAGGGUGGGUACUGUUGAGGGCUGUUAGAGUGUGUGUGUGUGUGUGUGUGUGUGUGUAUGUAUGUAUGUACCACACAUGGGCACGUGGUGGUCAUGACAACAGGCAGUGUGUUUUGAAGAAGCCCCAGGGCAAACAGGGAGCCAUCUCAAUCAGCCUGAUUGUGAGGUGUCUGAGCCUUUGGUGAUGGAGGACUUGAUUCAUUAAUUCUAACAGUUCAUAUUUUCUCCAGCACUGUCUGUGUGCCAGGCAAUAUUCCAAGUCGUUUGUGUGCACUAACUCAUUUCAUUUUCACAGCAACCCCAGAAAGCAAGUAGUCAUUGUCUUCAUUCUAUUUUAUUAAUUAAUCUUUUUUAGGGUUGCACUGUGGCAUAUGGAGAUUCCUCGGCUAGGGGUCAAAUUGGAGCUGCAGCAGCCGGCCUACACCAGAGUCACAGCAACGCCAGAUCUGAGUCACAUCUGCAACCUACGUCUUAGCUUGUGGCAAAGCCAGAUCCUUAACCCACUGAGUGAGGCCAGGGAUUAAACCCGAGUCCUCAGGGACACUAUGUUGGGUUCUUAACCUACUGAACACAGGGGACCUGCCUUAUUGUCUUCCUUUUAGAGAUGAGUAAACCAAGGCUCACAGAAUUGAAGUGAUGUGCUCAAGAUCCCCCAGCUGAGAAAUGUCAAGGACAGCAGCGUCCCAGGCAGUAUGACUCAGGAGCCCAGGUCCAGGCUAACCUGUCCCAACUAUUCCAUCCUGCCUGUCGUGGACUGUCACGGGCCAGAGCCAAUGCCACUCAUUCUCUGGGAGCCUCCUUCUGCAGUUGGCAGGUACCAAUGACAUAGGGGGGUGGAGCUUUCAGGAAAUGUAGAGACCCCCCAACUGCCGACAGCUUUCGGGACCCUGGGCAGCUGAGCUGCAGCCCAACGGGAAGUCUCAAUGACAGCAUAUGCUGACCUGUGACCUGCGAGGCAAAGCUGUAAUCAUGGCCAGAUCACAGGCUCCAACUGUAACUUCCUGCACAGUUAGAGGGCAGACAGGAGGCUUGUAGAGUGAACCCACCUCAAGAGCACCCUUGCGGUGGCACCUGCUGGGGCCGGAUGUGGUAGUGGAGCAAUACAGCCACAAAAGGGAUGCUGAGUGCCAAGAACUGGGCCAGGACCCUACGAAUGUUGACUAAUUGUCAUACUGACCUUGCCAGGUGGAUGUUCACCCUGUCCACUGAUAUGGAUGUAGUCUCAGGGAGGCUAAGUGAUGUGCCCAAGUUACUGAGCUGAGAUUUGAAUCCAGUUCUACUUGAUUCCAAAGUGCAUAUUUUUGGCCUAUGCCCACUGCCCUUCCUAUUUAAGGCCUAUUUUAUUUUCCCCUCCUCUUCCUUCCUUCCUUCCUUCCUUCCUUCCUUCCUUCUUUCCUUCCUUCCUUCUUUCCUUCUUUCUUACUUUGUUUCUCUUCCUUCCUCUCCUUCCUUCCUUCCUUCCUUUCUUCUUUCUCCUUUCUCUUCUUUCCUUCCUCAAUCAAACUUCCUUCGGGAUCAUUGAAGGAGAGCUGUGGCCUGUCUCAUGGAUGACUCCGUGGGAGUAUUUUCCCUGGAUCUGGGGGUGAGUAUCAGAUUUGAGGGGAUCAUGACGUGCCCCGUAAAAAAGUGUAAAGUUCACUUUUAAUCCUUAGGCGUCUUCAGUAGGAAUUCUCCUUGGGGUCUGACUCUUUCCUUUUUCAGCUUUUUCACAUGCUUGGGAAGUCACUGUGUGAGAAGAGCUGAGCACACAGAGCUCUGCACUCCCCUGUGGGGCUGGAAGGGCAGGUGGGAGCCACAGCCGGCUGGGGGCCGUGAGCCUGACUGUGCAGACUCUGCUGUCAGUGAGGGCAUGGAAUCCUGAAGGCAAAGGGUAUUCAAGUGUGUGUGUUUUGGGGUUGAAGAGUGAGAGAAUCAUUAUUGUUACGUGAAUUAUUCUGAAGUCCUAUGUGGGGCGGUGGGCGGGGUUGGUGGGAGAGACUGAAGGAGUGGGGACGGUGCAUGUGGGGCUGAGAUUAGACAGUGGAAGGGGAAUGGGAAGCUAGGGACUGAUGGGAAAGGCAUUAAGAUGAUACAAAGAAGAAGUAAGAGGUGCUUGAUUUGGGGGAGUGCUAGUGCUAUGAGAUGAGAAAAGUCAAGCCUCAUAACGGAACUGGGGAAAUCAGAAAUGGGAGCUCAUUUGGGGGAAAGAAUGUUAAUUUGAAAUAUUCUAGCAUUUUGGAUUUUUAGGGGAUGUUUUGAAAAGGGGCUGGUUGGAACUAUUUCCAGUGCAGAGAUCAUCCUUGCCUAUCAGAGAACUGUAAUUUGGGACAUGUGAAUCUUUUACCCAUCUCUUCGAGACACCUGAAGACAGAGCUAAGCCUUCUGUUUCCAGUGAUCAGGGGCUGGAUGAAGCCAGCCUCAGGAUAAUAAACCAGUACAAAGUUGGUGGAUGAAGGGAAAAUGGCACUUUUGAUGUCAUAUGUUUGAAGAUCGUUGAAACAUUUGAGUCUUCCAAGAAGUCUGAUUUGCAGAAUUGGCUGAGAAUGCCUGGAAUAGAAGCACACACCUGACAAAAAAGUUGGAUAAACGCUGCUAAUUGGGCGAGAGAAAGUGCUGGAACACUGAGCUGGCAGACCAGCCUCAGGAGGGGUCUUCCAAGGCACCAUAGCACUUUGGGCCUUAAAGAUCAUUAGCUCCAACCCUCUCAAUUAAGGAUAAAGAAACUCAACCUAAAGGAGACCAUGACUUCACACAACCAGGGCUAGAACAGUUGUAACUUGACACUUUGUUCUGUGGUGUAAGUGCUGGGUCUCCGCUCCACCCAGCAUCUCCCUCAUCUAGGAAAGGAAAUAAAUGGGUUCAAGUUCAAUUCUGAGAGGAUUCUAAGGACAGAGAUGAUAUCGUUGCACCCUGUGCAAACAAGGCCUGAGACAUACACCUCCCCGGAGGGGGUGGGCCUCAAAUUGGAGGUGAUGGUCGAGAAACACCUGGGAAGGUUCAUUCCAGGCCAUGCUCCCGAGGCCCCUGUGCAGUGUCCAGGCCACUUUCAAGGAUAUUAACUCACCAUGGCCAUGAAGGGCAAUGCUGUCUGUUUUGCGGGUGAGAAAACAACAGAACUCGAGGAGGUUUGGUGAUGUGUCCAACUAAGGUCUAGCGUGUCAACGAAGGUCCAAGUGAGCCUGGAGCCAAACCAGCACGGAAGCUCCCAUCCUCCCAUUCCCUUACCCAAGUUUGGUGAGGCCCAGACCUGCCUGCACCCUGGUUCUUCCAGAAAUCUCCUUUCUUCCUCUGCCGGGCCUUUGCUCAGCCCUUGCUCUUCUGCUGUUCCCCAGGUACCUGGCCUUCCCAGCUUUAUUGCAUUCUCCCCAUUCUUCAUCAAAACGUAUGGGUCAUCUUUCCCAUUUCUGCUGAGCUCUGUGCUCAGCCUCCUGUCACCCUAAAUGCGAAUUUCCAUCAUUGCCUUUACAGGUGAUAAUUUCAGCUCCCAAGCAUGCUUCCUCAUUUGAGAAACAAAACACGGCCGUGAUGCCUAGUGUAUUGUGACCUAUGUGGAGGAGCAGGUGUGACCAUCACUGAAUCAGUGCCUAAUAAGAAGCAGACACUGGGUAUGUACCCGUGAAGAGGAUUGUAGGUUGGGAACUUUCCUCCAGACCCCCUCAAUAGUCCUUCCUUUCUUAUGCAGAGUAAUUUAUUUCUUC
rnacentral:lncRNA from 1 species